GCCUCUUGGGGAAAAGGAGAAGCCAGCUGUCAGUCCAAAGCCCUGCCCAGGGCACAACGUCCAGGAUGAUUCUCAGGACAGGCAGUGGACGGAGCACCAGGCGGCCAGUGUCGAUGCUCCCACCGUGGCUGAUUUCGAGCUACCAACACGACGUCACUGAACGUGGAGUUGGGAAGAGAUGCAGACAAUCAUUUCUGGUGCCAGCUGAACCCAGCCCUAUCCCACCACCUCCUCUCACACCCCCUCAGAUCUGUGCCAUGGAAUGCAGUCAGAUCCUGGGAAAGAGCGUGGGCUUUGGAGUCGGACAGAUGGAGUUCAGAGCCCAGCUUUUCUGAUUUCAACACCAGUGUGGUCAUGGGAAAAAAUAUUGUACCUCUCUGAGUCUCCGUUUCUUCAUCUGUAAGCAGUUACCAGUGAUGCACCUUCCUCACCCCCACUUUUGUUCUUUUGCUCACGCAGUUCUCCUGCCUGGGAUGCCUUCUCUUCCACUCACCUAAAUUCUUAAGACUCUUCUCAAAUUCUGCCUCCUCCAUGAAGCCUUCCCCGGUUACUCUGGCCCUUAAUGUUUUCUCCCUUCUCCAUACUCCUAUGGCAAGUAGGAGGUUCACCUACCUAGCUUAGCACUGAUACCAUCCUACAUAUGAUCUGGUCGUUCUGGGCUGUUUUAGGACAAGGGCUCCAUCUCAGAUGACUGCUUUAUCUCUCAGCCCAGGCCCCCAGUUCCUACUCACUGAUUAAUUAUUAAUAACCUGCAGAUGUGAUAUGGAUCCAUCCCUCCAUUCCACAAGUAUUUAAUAAGUUUCUACCAUGUGUCAGGCACUGAAAAUACAACGGUAUUAAUUAAACAGUGGUAGUACUCAUAAUGAUUGCAAUAAUAAUUGCUACCAUUGUAAAGCAAUUACUAUAGAGCUAGGCAUUCUGCUGAGCACUUCACACAUUUUAGCUCUUUUAAUUUUUAUAACAACAUCCUAGGGAGUUAGAGACUACACUUAUCCCACUUUCCAGUAACAAACACGAAGCUCACUGGGAUUAAGUAACGUGUCCAAGGCCAGAGCCAGGAUUCAAACUCAGCUUUGUGCUCUUCAUGAUUCCGCUGCGUCUGGCACUAGGCUCUCUGGCCCCUCUCCCCUCACAGAGGUUAUUUUUCAAAGCAUUUUCAUCCUUCUCACAACAAUCCUACGAGGCGAAGAACACAGAGAAGUUAUCCCCAUUUUCUAAAUGAGGAAACUGAGACUCAGAGAGCCUGAGUGACUUGCUAACGACCAAUUACAGUCAGAGCUGUGGCUCCUGACUUCCGGCUGGGCCAUGGAGGUUGCUGGUGGACGCAGGGGAGGAGGAACGGGAGGAGGACCUUGUGCCCUGGACACAGGCCAGUGCUGGGACCACAGAGGCCAGCGCCUACCUUGUGCACCCAGUCCUUGCAGUCGUGGUCCUGCAUGCACUUGUCCAGUGCCCCAGCUGACAGCACCAGCACAAAGUUGCGGGCACCUAUGACACUCUGGAUGAGCUUGUCCUCGAACUUGCCUGCUUCCAGCUUCUCCACAUCAAUGAAGACACUGAAGCCGUGCAGCUGCAGGUGCACCUUCAGGAGGCUGUAAAGAGGUCCCGUGUCACUGCCUUGGCCUUGCCCCGAGGCCCCAGCCUGCCCGCCUGCCCACCCCUUCUCACCUGGCCAGCUGGGAGCCUGAGUUCCGGCGGUAGCUGAUGAAGACAUCUGGGAUGUCCCCACUGGGCUUGCAGCCAGUGCAGGGCAGUGGGGAGUGUAGCAUUUCUGAAGCAGACAAGAGACAGCUUGGUUCACCAUGAGGUACAUCAUCCCCUGCACACCCGCCUUCUCAGCCCGGCCCAACCCCACCCAGCCCAGGCAGGGUGGCUUGCUUCAAAAAAGGGUCACUGAGAUAGCGAGAUGGGCCUACGGGAAGGAGGGCUGCUAACUCUUAGUGAGUGCGUCUCAGGAGGCGGGCAUUGUGUUUUAGGGAUGUGGAUUUGCACCUCCGCCCUGCCCUCUCUCCGGAGCUUCAGACCUACACGGCCAGCUGCCCCCACACACGGCAAACCCAAUACGUCCCAAGUCCUCCCCGGGACCCUCCCUUCCUAGUUCCCACCACAGCCAACACCUGGGUAUUGGCCUGAACCCCUACCUCUCACUCAUUCAUUCAACAAGUAUUUGCUAAGCAUUUACUGUAUGCCUGGCACUAUCCCUUGUGCUUGGGCUACUGCAGUGAACAGAACAGACAAGUCUUCACAACCCCUGACUCCGAGCUCUGUAUCCUUCCUACUUCCCAGGGCCCUCCUGAUGUCCAGGCUCCCAACUCAGCCUUCUCAGUGGUCUCCCCAAAUCCACACUUACUCGGUCUAAUCUGUUUGUACAGCAACCGGAGGGAUUUUUCUAAAAUCUAAGUCUGAGUGUGUCAUUGCCCCCACUUAAAAAAACGUGCACGGCUCUUUUUAAAAAACGUGUAAGCUAUCUUUGCAGUAGGACUUCCCUGUUUUUAAAAAAUGAAAUCUUAGGGUUUUAUUGGACGCUGCGAUGUAAAAAUAAUAAAGGCUUGAUCUGCUUUAGUUAAA